rnacentral:rRNA from 1 species
UCGGGAAUUUUGGGCAAUGGGCGAAAGCCUGACCCAGCAACGCCGCGUGAGGGAUGAAGUAUUUCGGUAUGUAAACCUCGAAAGAAUGGGAAGAAUAAAUGACGGUACCAUUUAUAAGCUCCGGCUAACUACGUGCCAGCAGCCGCGGUAAUACGUAGGGAGCAAGCGUUGUUCGGAUUUACUAGGCGUAAAGGGCGCGUAGGCGGCGCGGUAAGUCACUUGUGAAAUCUCUGAGCUUAACUCAGAACGGCCAAGUGAUACUGCUGUGCUAGAGUGAGGAAGAGGCAAACGGAAUUCUUGGUGUCGCGGUGAAAUGCGUAGAUAUCAAGAGGAACACCUGAGGCGAAGGCGGGUUGCUGGGCCGACACUGACGCUGAUGCGCGAAAGCCAGGGGAGCAAAC